rfam:Danio rerio chromosome 21, GRCz11 reference primary assembly.
UGCCACAGCAACGUCACCCUGCAGCCCAAGACCGGUUACUCACUGAAGCUAAGCAGGGCUGAGCCUGGUCAGUACCUGGAUGGGAGACCACAUGGGAAAGCUAGGAUGCUGUCAGAA